rnacentral:rRNA from 1 species
UAACGCAUGCAAGUCGAGGGGCAGCAUGGUCUUAGCUUGCUAAGGCCGAUGGCGACCGGCGCACGGGUGAGUAACACGUAUCCAACCUGCCGUCUACUCUUGGACAGCCUUCUGAAAGGAAGAUUAAUACAAGAUGGCAUCAUGAGUCCGCAUGUUCACAUGAUUAAAGGUAUUCCGGUAGACGAUGGGGAUGCGUUCCAUUAGAUAGUAGGCGGGGUAACGGCCCACCUAGUCUUCGAUGGAUAGGGGUUCUGAGAGGAAGGUCCCCCACAUUGGAACUGAGACACGGUCCAAACUCCUACGGGAGGCAGCAGUGAGGAAUAUUGGUCAAUGGGCGCAGGCCUGAACCAGCCAAGUAGCGUGAAGGAUGACUGCCCUAUGGGUUGUAAACUUCUUUUAUAAAGGAAUAAAGUCGGGUAUGUAUACCCGUUUGCAUGUACUUUAUGAAUAAGGAUCGGCUAACUCCGUGCCAGCAGCCGCGGUAAUACGGAGGAUCCGAGCGUUAUCCGGAUUUAUUGGGUUUAAAGGGAGCGUAGAUGGAUGUUUAAGUCAGUUGUGAAAGUUUGCGGCUCAACCGUAAAAUUGCAGUUGAUACUGGAUAUCUUGAGUGCAGUUGAGGCAGGCGGAAUUCGUGGUGUAGCGGUGAAAUGCUUAGAUAUCACGAAGAACUCCGAUUGCGAAGGCAGCCUGCUAAGCUGCAACUGACAUUGAGGCUCGAAAGUGUGGGUAUCAAA